UCACCGUUCAAAACUAUAACCAAAUAAAAGAACUUCAACAAAGGAAAGAACAGGGAAAAAAAGGCAUCAGCUCUACUCUUCCCAAAUGUUCUUCACCGGUUGCGGUUCCACAUGCUUUAAUGUUUAACUUUUAUAGUUGGGAUGCUUUCCGCUUUGUCUUCAUAGUGGUGAUCAUCCAUUGUUCCUGUAUCAGGCAACAAGGGACAACUGGGUGGGAUAUGACAUCCAUGUCCCCGCCUCACCCAAUCACUCAUCGUGAAAUGGUAUAGAAAAUUAGGUGAUUGCAAAGAGAAUAUCUUAGUU
rnacentral:lncRNA from 1 species